UCUGACAUAGGAAAUAAAUAAUUCUCUCGUUCCUUUUCUCCAUCAAGAAAGGAAAAGGAGGGGAUAGUCUUUGGGCCUCCAGCCCAGGUCAGGCAGGGAUCAUUCCCAGGUGAAGCAGGGAAAGGGAGCAGGCAAGAAUCUAGAAAGAGAACAGCUCUUCAAGGGAGGGACUGGAGCUCCUGUCUCCGACAACCAACAGCCUUCCUGCACAUUUCACCUGCUCUCCUCCAGCCUGGCCUGCCCUGGAACAUCCUCUCCCUGGCCACCAUCCCUCACCAGGCCAUACUCAUCUAGUCUCCUUCCUCCUUCUCCUGGAACUCUCCCUUUCUCAGCCAGAUCACUGGGAUCCUCCCUCCUCCUUCUCCUGGAACUCUCCCUUUCUCAGCCAGAUCACUGGGUGGGGAUUUCCACCUGCUCGUGAAAAACGCUGUGACUGCCUCACCGCUGCCCCCUCCCCACCUCAGCCCCAGCUGCUUCUCUGGGGACGGCUUGUUUGUUCUGAAGCUCUGUGGCUGCCUGUGACCUCGAGGAGGGGGAGUGCUAUGGGGUCAGACCGACCCCUCACAUCUUGGGUCUGGUGCUUUCCGAAGCCCUUUCCCAGCUCUGGUGACACCAGAGUCCCUGGGAGCCCAACAGGCCAGGUCCCGUUAUCAGCAUCUUACGAAGGAGUAAAACAAGGUCCACAGGCAGCAGGAGGCACAAGCCAAUCAGCAGCAGGAUCGGGCCCAGAACUUCAGUCAGUCCUCUUCCCACAAACCCAGCCUGCCUCCCAAGGCGGGCCACAAAUCAGCGGCUUCUCACCCUGGCAAUCCCAGAAGCGUCCCUCCCCUCCCGCAGGCAGUCCAGAGCUAAGAGGUAGGACCAUGAAACAGUAAUAACUAACCAUGAUGGCCUGCGUGCCAAGCUGUGUGAUAAGCCCUUUAGUUAUUAUCUUACUUGGCCCUCACUUGGGAAGUGGUUCUAUUAUUAUGCCCAUUUUAUAGAUAAGGGCACUGAGACAGGGAGGGACUCUCCAGAGCACACGGUUAGUGAGUGUCCGAGGAGAACCGCCAAGGCUGGUUUUUCGGGCUCCGAAGCCAUCCCACAGAACUGCUUUUCUUGGCUGGUGUUAUAUUUGGUCUGGCUGAGCUCACAGAAGUCAGAUGCCAUCAAAGCGUCGGGUCGCUUAGAACGCAGCCGAGCAGGGGAGCGGAGCCGCGUACAUUGUAAGGCGAUACGAGAAGGAAACACAGAAGCGAUCAACAAACAGGAAUGACCAACAGAAGGAUUUCAGAGAUGCCUGGAGAGACUUACACGAACUGAUGCUGAGUGAAAUGAGCAGGACCAGGAGAUCAUUAUACACUUCAAUAACAAUACUAUAUGAGGAUCAAUUCUGAUGGAUGUGGCCCUCUUCAAGAAUGAGAAGAUCCAAAUCAGUUCCAAUUGACCUGUAAUGAACAGAACCAGCUACACCCAGAGAAAGAACACUGGGAAAUGAGUGUGAAUCACCAUAAUAAUACUCUUUCUGGUAUUGUUUGCUUGCAUUUUUGUUUUUUUCUUCCCAGGUUACUUUUUACCUUCUUUCUAAAUGCAAUCUAUCCUGUGCAACAAGAUAACUAUAUAAGUCUGUAUACAUAUAUUGUAUUUAACAUAUACUUUAACAUAUCUAACAUGUAUGGAACUAUCUGCCAUCUAGGGGAAGGGAUGGAGGGAAAGAGGGAAAAAGUUGAAACAGAAGUUUUUGCAAAGGUCAAUGUUGAAAAAUUACCCGUGCAUGUGUUUUGUAUACAAAAAGCCAUAAUAAAAAAAGUUAAAUCUAUAUAUAA